AUGGCUCGUUCAAUUUCUCUUGUUUCCACCAUCUUUGUCUUCCUUCUCAUUCUUGUGGCCACUGGGCCAAAUAUGGUGGCAGAGGCAAGAGAUUGUGAAUCUAAAAGUCACAAAUUCAAAGGAACAUGUUUGAGUGACACCAACUGUGCUUCUGUGUGCCAAACAGAACGUUUCCCCGGUGGACACUGCCGUGGAUUCCGUCAUAGAUGUUUUUGCACUAAACAUUGUUGA
rnacentral:lncRNA from 1 species